GUGGUGGUGAGGGUGGUGGACGGAGAAGAUAAAAGAUGCUGCUGGGCUGCGGAUAUACCUCUUCAGGGGUAGAGCAUUUGCCCCACAUGCACAAGGCCCUGGGUUCAAUCCCAUCACUGGAAAACAAAAAGGAAGGAAGGAAGGAAAGAAGGAAGGAAGGAAGGAAAAGAAAAGCUACAAGAUGCUAUCUUUGUCCUCAAAGAGCCCUAAUCUAGAAGGUAAGGAAAUGUGGGCUGGGCAGCAGAUGGCCUUUCAGCC
rnacentral:lncRNA from 1 species